rnacentral:rRNA from 1 species
GUGAGGAAUAUUGGUCAAUGGGCGGGAGCCUGAACCAGCCAAGUCGCGUGAAGGAAGAAGGAUCUAUGGUUCGUAAACUUCUUUUGCAGGGGAAUAAAGUGCAGGACGUGUCCUGUUUUGUAUGUACCCUGAGAAUAAGGAUCGGCUAACUCCGUGCCAGCAGCCGCGGUAAUACGGAGGAUCCGAGCGUUAUCCGGAUUUAUUGGGUUUAAAGGGUACGUAGGUGGUUUGAUAAGUCAGCGGUGAAAGUUUGCAGCUUAACUGUAAAAAUGCCGUUGAAACUGUCGGACUUGAGUGUAAAUGAGGUAGGCGGAAUGCGUGGUGUAGCGGUGAAAUGCAUAGAUAUCACGCAGAACUCCGAUUGCGAAGGCAGCUUACUAAGCUACAACUGACACUGAAGCACGAAAGCGUGGGGAUCAAACAGGAUUAGAAACCCUAGUAGUCC